GCAUCCUGAAGCUGCUUGCUGAAAACAGCUCCAAGAGAGGCUCUUGGAAUUGGAAAAUUGGUUAUCGUGUCCUCUGGGAGAUCUGCUGUUAUAGGUCCUGGAACAAACUGGGAGGAGUUCUGGAUGGAGUAUGGCUUCUGCCUUAACCCAGAGCUGUGCUUUGACAGCUCCAGAUAGAGUCAUUUCAAAGCUUCCUUUUUGUUCUGAAUGCAGUUUUGCUAGAUGUGCAAGCAUCACAUUGGAAGAUGCUCAGGCAAGUGAGAGGCAGUAGCAGUACAUCUACAAGACUGAUCUCUCUUUUUGCACAGGAGAAAAGCUUGUGCUUUUCAUGUCACGUCAUGAGAUGCUCCUUUGGAAGUUAGCAAGCACACCUGUGUCCCAGUGAGAUGUCUUUUGUAUUGAAUAUGGCUAUAAUUGCAGUUGUUAAAGAAAUAUUGGGUCCCUUAUGGUUUGGGUUCAUAGUCAGAGCAGAUACUGACUUCUUAGGGCUGGCAGAGUUGCACCGAGGAGUACAUGAAGCAGCAUCAUGAUGCUUCUGGCUUUGAAGUCAGGUUCUCUUGUUUAGUGUCAACAUGAUCACCCACAGUUUAAUCUGAAGUGUACCCACAGUUUAAUCUGAAGUGGGUACAAGUACAUUUUGAUUAUGUGCCUAUGCUGAGCUCGUUGGUAUAGUGGUGCUAUCAUAGGUAUUGCUUGAAUAGAGAAAAGGCUGCUUGGGCUACACGAUAGCUGCAAUUUGCCUCAGAAGGUAAAGCUGCGCUUUAAUUACUGAAUUUACACAUGUAAUUGUAAUUAUUUCUGGUUCAAAUAGCUCUGUGUUAAGAUGUUGCUGUGUUUGGACAGACCAAAAGACAAGAACGGGGGCUUGUGAUUCAGGAGAAAGAGGAUUUUCUUUUUCUUUCUUUAAUGGGAGGAAAAGAAAAAUAUAACUUACAAAAAUAUUAUUUUUACUGCAUGUGUUUGAAGAAAGAUUUGGAGGAAUGGAAAGGAUGCUGUGAGGAGAAUUUUGGAUCUGUUGCUUGAGGAUGCAGAUGUGGCUUGUAAGGAGGUAAGGAAAAGUGGACGUCCAUGUAACUGCAUUCAUGCUGAUGCUCCACCAUUGUGUUCCAUGAUUUUGGAGCUGAGUCUUGCUUCACUGAGUGAUGUCAGCUUACAUCUUGCUGUUUGGAGAGGGAUUUAGGGUUGCAACAGCCUGAGGAAAUAGAGAUGUUGUUUACAGGGCUAUAAGCUGUUGUGGUGCUCAGGACCUGAGGUUAAACCACAUCUUUGCUCUGUGUAGGUGGAACCACAGUGCUAUGCAGGGAGCAGAGUUUGCUCAGCUGUGUGCACUGCAGUGGGAAGCAGAGGAGGUCAGAGUGCUGCAGCUUUGGGGAGGCUCUGAGCUGCCAUUGAGGCUUGUCUGGGGCUUAGCAAGCAUCUCUUCAUUUUAUCUCUCAGCAGAAGUGUGUGCCCAGCCAAAAUGAAGCUGAGAAUACACAAAAUAGAUCAAAAUCUGCUCUCCUGGGAGCAUGACUGUCAGCUGCCAGCAGCCUGUGCUUUUGGGGAAUGUGUGCUGAAUCCUAGUUCCUUGAUUGAAGGGAUCCCACAGGACUUGACAGAUGCUCCUUUGUGUGCCAUCAGCAGCUCUGCACGGGGAGGCAGCUGCCAGGCAAUGCACAGCUGCUUUGCUUCUUCAGCUGGCAGAGAAAUUCAGCAAAAGUCCUGACAGCUCUGAAAUUGCAGAAUGAACUUUGGUUGUCGCUUGGUGAAGGCUGAGCACUAAGUUGGUGAGCUGGAAGGCUGUGACACUUGUGUGGCCAACAAAGAAACUGUUGGGUGCUAAAACAGAGAUAGGAUAUUUUCAAGGCAGCAUUCCCUACUUUUAUGUGAGGAUCUGGAUGAGAACUCGAGGAAGCUCAGAUGUUCCUCAUUUGGCAUUUGUGGAAAUGGAAAGUCACAAACUGAUGGGUUGUUCUCACUGUGAAUGAGCUUGGAGCUGUCAUAAAGUAACUCUGAAAUAUUUCACUUGAAUAUGGGAUGAGUGAGGGUGCUCAGAAUUGGGAUAUGUCCCAAACUGAAGUUGAUCUAAUGGGAUGGCAUUUCUAAUGCAGAUAACUGCCUAAUCCACAGAAGGUUUGUGUGGGGGCUGUUUGUACACAGGAAGAUCUCGUGUGUGUGACCAAAGCAAAGAGGAAUGAAAAAUGUUGAGCCAAAUUAAUGUUGAUAAAACAGCCUUUAGAUUUUGGACUACUUGACAACUUAGUGCUUAAUAUUAAUGAAUCAUUAAUAUUAAAGUAUUCUUUUCUUUUUCCUUCCUGCUUAAGUUCAUAAGCUCUUUUUGAAGGGAAGGGGAACUUGGAGAUAAUUGCUUUUUUGGAAGUUGUGAACUCACUCAGGUGCCAACCCUGUGGCUUGAUGAAGCUGAUGGCAUCCCAAUUUAUGCAUGGUGUCCACUUCAUUUGGAAUCUGGACCAGGCUCCUGCCUAAACAUGCUUCCUCUAUGUGUUUUUCUAUAGAGGGGGCAGACUAGACUGUAUAGAGGAGGUGCAGUUGAAUAAUUAAGAUUUGAGUGAAGUUUCCACUGGUUGCAGUUCUCCCAACUGAUUGGUGUGGUUUGGUUUUGUUUUUUUUUUGGGGGGGGGAGGACAUUGACACCAAAAGUUUUGAUGCAGAGAAUAAACCCUGGACUCCUGUUCAGUCAUUUACUGAGCAGCUUUCCUGCCAAUAAUGGUAUGUUGUAUUUAUGUUGUCUAAAUGUCAAAUGUCUAUCCUGAGUUGGCCUUCCCUUGCUUAUUUGUUGCAGCAAAUCAGCCAGUGUAAUAAAAUAGCAAAGUGCAUGCUGGAA